AGUAGGUGUGAUGAUUUUAAAAUGUACCGCCCCAGACUGAGUUGUAUGACUGAAUGGUACUCCUUCUGACCUCUG